UGCCUAAUACAUGCAAGUCGAGCGAACAGACGAGGAGCUUGCUCCUCUGACGUUAGCGGCGGACGGGUGAGUAACACGUGGAUAACCUACCUAUAAGACUGGGAUAACUUCGGGAAACCGGAGCUAAUACCGGAUAAUAUAUUGAACCGCAUGGUUCAAUAGUGAAAGACGGUUUUGCUGUCACUUAUAGAUGGAUCCGCGCCGCAUUAGCUAGUUGGUAAGGUAACGGCUUACCAAGGCAACGAUGCGUAGCCGACCUGAGAGGGUGAUCGGCCACACUGGAACUGAGACACGGUCCAGACUCCUACGGGAGGCAGCAGUAGGGAAUCUUCCGCAAUGGGCGAAAGCCUGACGGAGCAACGCCGCGUGAGUGAUGAAGGUCUUCGGAUCGUAAAACUCUGUUAUUAGGGAAGAACAAAUGUGUAAGUAACUAUGCACGUCUUGACGGUACCUAAUCAGAAAGCCACGGCUAACUACGUGCCAGCAGCCGCGGUAAUACGUAGGUGGCAAGCGUUAUCCGGAAUUAUUGGGCGUAAAGCGCGCGUAGGCGGUUUUUUAAGUCUGAUGUGAAAGCCCACGGCUCAACCGUGGAGGGUCAUUGGAAACUGGAAAACUUGAGUGCAGAAGAGGAAAGUGGAAUUCCAUGUGUAGCGGUGAAAUGCGCAGAGAUAUGGAGGAACACCAGUGGCGAAGGCGACUUUCUGGUCUGUAACUGACGCUGAUGUGCGAAAGCGUGGGGAUCAAACAGGAUUAGAUACCCUGGUAGUCCACGCCGUAAACGAUGAGUGCUAAGUGUUAGGGGGUUUCCGCCCCUUAGUGCUGCAGCUAACGCAUUAAGCACUCCGCCUGGGGAGUACGACCGCAAGGUUGAAACUCAAAGGAAUUGACGGGGACCCGCACAAGCGGUGGAGCAUGUGGUUUAAUUCGAAGCAACGCGAAGAACCUUACCAAAUCUUGACAUCCUCUGACCCCUCUAGAGAUAGAGUUUCCCCUUCGGGGGACAGAGUGACAGGUGGUGCAUGGUUGUCGUCAGCUCGUGUCGUGAGAUGUUGGGUUAAGUCCCGCAACGAGCGCAACCCUUAAGCUUAGUUGCCAUCAUUAAGUUGGGCACUCUAAGUUGACUGCCGGUGACAAACCGGAGGAAGGUGGGGAUGACGUCAAAUCAUCAUGCCCCUUAUGAUUUGGGCUACACACGUGCUACAAUGGACAAUACAAAGGGUAGCGAAACCGCGAGGUCAAGCAAAUCCCAUAAAGUUGUUCUCAGUUCGGAUUGUAGUCUGCAACUCGACUAUAUGAAGCUGGAAUCGCUAGUAAUCGUAGAUCAGCA
rnacentral:rRNA from 1 species